rnacentral:pre_miRNA from 1 species
CUGGUACUCCCUCUGUCCGGAAAUACUUGUCAUUGAAAUGGAUGUAUCUAGAUGUAUUUUAGUUCUAGACACAUCCAUUUUGAUGACAAGUAAUUCCGGACAGAGGGAGUACUUG